ACCUCACUCACAGGGCUGCGUGUAAUACACAGCCCAGCUUACCUCUUCCUGCUCCUCCUCAUGUUCCUGCCCAGUGCUGCUGCCUCCUUCCACCACACUGUCCCGGCCCCGGCUCCUGCUCUUCACAGGAAGGAGCAGCAAUAGCCAGCCUGUUUCUUGUUUUAGUUCCUCAUGGUGCGACGGGCGGCGCAACAACCGGUGCAGGCAGAUCCUCAGGAGGUGCGGGCUGCAGGCAGAGCAGGGGGAGCUUCCUGCAGCCCCUUUGAAGACUGCAGGAAGGAGCAGCCACUGGUUGAGGCACCUUGAAAACGGUCCAGACAUGCCUGAGUUGUCCGGACCAUGCCCACCAUACCGCGAGUCGACACCCCCACCCGAUGGCCGUCACUGUCUAUCACUAUGCGAUGGCAUCCUUCUGGGAUACUAGAGGGUACUAAUUAUCCGCACCUGGCAUUGUGUGGGGGGUGCUGCCAGCUGUGAAGGUGGAGAAAUGCGUUGGAGAACAUAGUAUUUACCAUUAAUUUUCUAGCGAAAGAGAGGUGAUGCAUAGAGAGAUCCCACGCAGGUGAGGAAACAGGUGAACAGGUGACAAAAAGAGGAGAUCAGCAGGUGUGAGUGAGACCCCCCCCCCCCCCCAGACAGCCCCCCAGAGACAUCAGCUGCCUCUUACCUGGCAAGUCUGGCAUUCCACAGAGUGAUUGGAAACGGCAGCUUCGGGAAGGUGCUGCUCGCAUCCCACUCCAUCAGCAGACAGCAGCUGGCUGUAAAAGUAAUAGAUAAGAGGAGAGCAGGGGACAGCUUUAAGGACUCCAUACAGUAUGUGUAGAGAGAGAUCCUGCAAAGAACUGGAGAGUGUGCGUUCCUCACACACAGCUAUACCAAUGUCGAGACACCGGACCAUAUGUUCUUUGCUAUGGAGUACAUGAGUGGGGGAGACCUGGACCAAUUAAUACAGAGCAGAGCCCCAUUUGAUAUUAAUACUACCAGAAUUUUAGCAGCAGAAAUAUACUGUGGGCUACAGUUCCUGCAUACCCGGGGGUUCAUACACAGAAACAUUAAGCUGGACAAUAUUCUUCUUGAUGCAUGUGGCCAUAUAAAGAUAGCGGAUUUUGGCAUCUCUGUGAUAAAUGUCCAUGGCAAUAAGGAGGUCUCAAGGUGUGCCAGAACUCUAGGCUACGUGGCCCCUGAGAUUCUCUUGGACAUGCCAUACAACACCACAUUAGACCUCUUCUCAUUUGGGGUAGUACUAUUCCAGAUGGCUACUGGAUCACCCCCCCUUCUAUGCUGGUGACAAUUCCAUUGAGGUUGCGCAAUCUGUAGCAUAUAAUGAUCCAUCCUAUCCGAGCAACCUCCACCCAGAGAUCCGGGACGUGCUGGAGAGACUCUUUCACAAAAGCCCAGAGGAGAGGCAGAAACACUGUGAGAACCUAAAAAGCCAUCCGUUCUUCAGUCCCAUCAACUGGGAGCAGUUAGAAUCCAGCAGGACAACUCCCACAUUUAUCAUGCCUCCUACAGAAGACACAAUGGGUGACUCUAUAGCCCUGGAAGACCUGCUCUCACCAACAAAAUCCACAAUAUCAUCAUCAGAGGAAGAAGACAGCCUAUAUACGGAAUUCUAUUUUACCAGUGACCUGUGAAGAACGGGUGUAGUAUGGUAUUCCGGCGGCUGGGCUCCCGGCGACCAGCAUGCCGGCGCCGGGAGCCCGACCGCCGGCAGCGUGGCGAGCGCAAAUGAGCCCCUUGUGGGCUCGCUGCGCUCGCCGCGCUGCGGGCAUGGUUUCUCCCUCCAGGGGGGUCGUGGACCCCCACGAGGGAGAAUAUCUGUCGGUAUGCCGGGCGUCGGGAUACCGGCGCCGGGAUCCCGACAUUCGGCAACCUGAAGUCCACCCGUGAAGAACAAUGCCCUGAAGAUAGAACGUCAUCUUCUAUCAAGCUCCUCUCCUGCUCCAUAUACCUCCCUGAAUGUGGGCUUUUAUCAUCGGCCCUGGAGCAGCCCGAAUACCAUUUGGGUGACGGGGAUACUAGCGGAACAGAAAGAGGAAUGGGAAUCCGCAAUAACCUGAUCCAUGUAUCUGGAACUGUGAAAUAAAUAUCAGUAUCCCCGAAUCUCUUCAAUUUGCCAUUAUUUAAUAUUCUUGUUUGUAUUUGUACAAUAUUGCUUAUUGUGUCUCUCUCUGCUAUCACCACACAUGCCUUUGAACUACAAUAGUUAAAUCCAGCCAUUAGAUCCAGUAAUUAACAGGAUAGUCUUCUGUCCAAAUAUUGGAAUCACUCAACACACUGGCUGACACAUUUAUUGCUUUUAUACAUGUUUUGCAUUUGUAUCUUUGCACUAUUACCAAUAUACCUAUUAUGUGUAUAGUUUAUAUACAUGUUGUGAGCACUUCCUCUGUUUCUUUGUAUGAUCACUUUACAUCACAUUAUUACAAAUUAGAUUUGAUUUUACAUUCAAUGUGCAAUCUAAAUCACA